rnacentral:rRNA from 1 species
CCCUUAGAUGUUCUGGGCCGCACGCGCGCUACACUGACGCAUUCAACGAGUCUCCUUGGCCGAGAGGCCUGGGUAAUCUUGUGAACGUGCGUCGUGAUAGGGAUAGAUUAUUGCAAUUAUUAAUCUUGAACGAGGAAUUCCUAGUAAACGCAGAUCAUCAAUCUGCAUUGAUUACGUCCCUGCCCUUUGUACACACCGCCCGUCGCACCUACCGAUUGGAUGGUCCGGUGAAGCCUCGGGAUUGUGGCCGGUGCAUUCAUUUGUGUCGGUUGCGAGAACUUGUCUAAACCUUAUCAUCUAGAGGAAGGUGAANUCGUAACA